rnacentral:rRNA from 1 species
CAUAGGUUAAUGAGGCGAACCGGGGGAACUGAAACAUCUAAGUACCCCGAGGAAAAGAAAUCAACCGAGAUUCCCCCAGUAGCGGCGAGCGAACGGGGAGGAGCCCAGAGCCUGAAUCAGUGUGUGUGUUAGUGGAAGCGUCUGGAAAGGCGCGCGAUACAGGGUGACAGCCCCGUACACAAAAAUGCACAUAUUGUGAGCUCGAUGAGUAGGGCGGGACACGUGGUAUCCUGUCUGAAUAUGGGGGGACCAUCCUCCAAGGCUAAAUACUCCUGACUGACCGAUAGUGAACCAGUACCGUGAGGGAAAGGCGAAAAGAACCCCGGCGAGGGGAGUGAAAAAGAACCUGAAACCGUGUACGUACAAGCAGUGGGAGCCUCUUAAUGGGGUGACUGCGUACCUUUUGUAUAAUGGGUCAGCGACUUAUAUUCUGUAGCAAGGUUAACCGAAUAGGGGAGCCGAAGGGAAACCGAGUCUUAACUGGGCGUUAAGUUGCAGGGUAUAGACCCGAAACCCGGUGAUCUAGCCAUGGGCAGGUUGAAGGUUGGGUAACACUAACUGGAGGACCGAACCGACUAAUGUUGAAAAAUUAGCGGAUGACUUGUGGCUGGGGGUGAAAGGCCAAUCAAACCGGGAGAUAGCUGGUUCUCCCCGAAAGCUAUUUAGGUAGCGCCUCGUGAAUUCAUCUCCGGGGGUAGAGCACUGUUUCGGCAAGGGGGUCAUCCCGACUUACCAACCCGAUGCAAACUGCGAAUACCGGAGAAUGUUAUCACGGGAGACACACGGCGGGUGCUAACGUCCGUCGUGAAGAGGGAAACAACCCAGACCGCCAGCUAAGGUCCCAAAGUCAUGGUUAAGUGGGAAACGAUGUGGGAAGGCCCAGACAGCCAGGAUGUUGGCUUAGAAGCAGCCAUCAUUUAAAGAAAGCGUAAUAGCUCACUGGUCGAGUCGGCCUGCGCGGAAGAUGUAAC